UACGUAGGCAGCAAGCGUUGUUCGGAGUUACUGGGCGUAAAGGGUGUGUAGGCGGUUGGGUAAGUGUGGUGUGAAAUCUCCCGGCUUAACUGGGAGGGUGCGCUACAAACUGUCUGACUAGAGUGAGGAAGAGGAAAGUGGAAUUCCGCGUGUAGUGGUGAAAUGCGUAGAGAUGCGGAGGAACACCAGUGGCGAAAGCGGCUUUCUGGUCCUUAACUGACGCUGAGGCGCGAAAGCAUGGGGAGCGAACGGG
rnacentral:rRNA from 1 species